rnacentral:misc_RNA from 1 species
AACGCACAUUGCGCCCCUCGGUAUUCCGGGGGGCAUGCCUGUUCGAGCGUCAUUACACCCCUCAAGCGUAGCUUGGUAUUGGGUUCUCGUCCCCCGGGCGUGCCCGAAAAGUAUUGGCGGUCCGGAGUGACUUUAAGCGUAGUAAAUUAUCUCCCGCUUUGAAAGUUUGCCCCGUGGCUACCAGACAACCCACGAUAUUUAUGAAAUCAUUGACCUCGGAUCAGGUAGGGAUACCCGCUGAACUUAA